rnacentral:antisense_RNA from 1 species
UUUGAUCGAUCCCAGCCACAGUGGAUUCUGCGCUGCCCGGUUCCGGCCGUAGGUCGCCAGCAACGCCUGCGCCUC